AAUAGAUACCCGGGUAGUCCACGCCGUAAACUAUGGAUGCUAGCUGUUAGAAGUAUCGACCCUUCUAGUAGCGAAGCUAACGCGUUAAGCAUCCCGCCUGUGGAGUACGGUCGCAAGACUAAAACAUAAAGGAAUUGACGGGGACCCGCACAAGCGGUGGAGCGUGUUGUUUAAUUCGACGGUAAGCGAAGAACCUUACCCAGGUUUGACAUCCUUGGAAGCUUUGCGAAAGCAGAGUGUGCCUUCGGGAACCAAGUGACAGGUGAUGCAUGGCCGUCUUCAGCUCGUGUCGUGAGAUGUUUGGUUAAGUCCAUUAACGAGCGCAACCCUUAUAGUUAGUUGAAUUUUUCUAGCUAGACUGCCCUGGCAACAGGGAGGAAGGAGGGGAUGAUGUCAGGUCAGUAUCUCCCUUACAUCUGGGGCUACAAACACGCUACAAUGGCCGGUACAAAGGGCAGCCAACCCGCGAGGGGGAGCAAAUCCUAUCAAAGCCGGUCUCAGUUCGGAUUGCAGGCUGAAACUCGCCUGCAUGAAGUCGG
rnacentral:rRNA from 1 species